UAUUCUUCUGAAGCAAAACCUAUUCUCUCUUUCUCCCUACUUUUCGUGUCUCUCUUAUCUUUUAUUUUAACUAAUAUUUUUCUUUUUAUUUUUCUUGUCUAUUGACAUCCUUCUCUCUCUCCGAUACGAAAUUCAAUUUUUACCCAAAAUCCAAGUUUUCAUCUUCAGAUAAAUCGCUCAAUCGGUCUCAACUGGUUUUUCCUUGCCAUCGUGCUCAUCCUUGUCGUCGCCAUCAACCUCCAGAUCCGGCAAAGAGAAAAGUUGAUCUCUCCAAUGGUGACAUUAAAUGUUUUUGCACGACAGGUCCCUGAUGUUCUGGUUCUUUUCAAUUUGACCCCAAACAUUUUAGAUUUACUGAAACAUCCUAGCGAAUCAACCCCGAAUCUUUAAGUCGUGCUAUCUAGCCCUUCCUGUAUUUUCACAAUAGUACCUCGUUUCUUGAUGGCUUUCAAAUUGGCCACAACAUUAAUUACUCAAUAUAUCUUUUGUUUUGGGUUUGUA